CAGGAAGCGGGUCGUGUUUAGCUUGUCCCGUACGAGUGACUCUGUUUUCGGGGUAAAUAACUUGCUGAAGUCGACACGACGCUGUUCCCUGGAGGAGAAGAUGAGUGCGUGUGGAGGCAGAGCCGCGGGCCCGGUGUGGACGAGUCGAGCCGGAGAAGACAGGCGCACAGUCCCUGAGUUACGCCUCAGCCCCCCCCCCCACACACACACACACACACACAAACAAAGAGGCGUUAGGCUGAGACGCUGAAAGUCCGGAUUUAAAGUGCAGAAAAUUAAGCCAUUGUAUGUAAGUAACUGUUUAUGAAUUGUUUUGGUGUUUUUUUGCUGUGGAUCUUCCAACGGUGAUGCAGCGCGGCUAUUUCCGUUUAUUAAUAAUAAAGUCAUGUUACAUGUGGUGUUUUCCAGCUGCCUGUCCAUGACGUACAAAGACACACUAUGAGCCAGUAUGAUCCGACCAGACCUCACAUCAGCAUUGAGGAGUUGUCGGAGAAGAAAGAGGCUGAUUGAAGCGGGACAGUAGACAUGGAUCCAUCCUUCCACAGCCAGGAGCGCACCGACCUGUGUGCCACACUUCAUAUAAGACUGGAAGCUACACUGAUCUCACAGCUACACACCACAGACGUCUACACACUGGAGAAGAUUCAGACAGAGUCCCACAAAGAAGUCAUGACCCAGAGGCUGCAGAGAAACAUUUCAAGCCUCAUCUGAGUUUUUGUACAAUAUUUUUGCUGUAUGUAAAUAAAGCUUUCACUCCACAUA